rnacentral:snRNA from 1 species
GGGUGUGAGGGCAAUCUGGCUGUGACAUCUGUCGCCCCAGUGACAUUGGUCACCAGGGUUAAUUUGACUGAUCUGGUCAGCUGCGCGGAUGUUCCCUUCCUCCCUCACUACUCCAUGUGUAUCCCUCCUGAAGUGGACAGACUUCCUUGAUAGAGGAGGGCCAUUCUUGAGUCAAGGGUAUAUGAGUAGCUGUGCUUCCCUGCUUCCCUAGAACCUCCAAAUAAGCUCUCAAUGUCCAUUUUGUUGAUAGUUUCCUUUACUGUUCAGAAGCUUUUUAGUUUGAUGUGGUCCCACUUGUUUAUUUUU